GCAACGAUGAAGAACGCAGCGAAAUGCGAUACCUAGUGUGAAUUGCAGAAUUCCGUGAAUCAUCGAGUUUUUGAACGCAAGUUGCGCCCGAGGCUCGUCUGAGGGCAUGCCUGCCUGAGCGUCCGC
rnacentral:rRNA from 1 species